rnacentral:rRNA from 1 species
GACCAGACUCCUACGGGAGGCAGCAGUAGGGAAUCUUUCACAAUGGGCGAAAGCCUGAUGGAGCAACGCCGCGUGCAGGAUGAAGGCCUUCGGGUUGUAAACUGCUUUUAUAAGCGAGAAAUAUGAUGGUAACUUAUGAAUAAGGAUCGGCUAACUCCGUGCCAGCAGCCGCGGUAAUACGGAGGAUCCGAGCGUUAUCCGGAUUUAUUGGGUUUAAAGGGAGCGUAGAUGGGUUGUUAAGUCAGUUGUGAAAGUUUGCGGCUCAACCGUAAAAUUGCAAUUGAUACUGGCAGCCUUGAGUACAGUUGAGGUAGGCGGAAUUCGUGGUGUAGCGGUGAAAUGCUUAGAUAUCACGAAGAACUCCGAUUGCGAAGGCAGCAUACCGGCGCCCAACUGACGCUGAAGCACGAAAGCGUGGGUAUCGAACAGGAUUAGAUACCCCCGUA